CGCACAUUGCGCCCCUUGGUAUUCCAUGGGGCAUGCCUGUUCGAGCGUCAUCUACACCCUCAAGCUCUGCUUGGUGUUGGGCGUCUGUCCCGCCUUAGUGCGUGGACUCGCCCCAAAUUCAUUGGCAGCGGUCUUUGCCUCCUCUCGCGCAGCACAAUUGCGUUGUAAGGGGGUGCGGCUUGCGUCCACAAAGCAACAUUACCGUCUUUGACCUCGGAUCAGGUAGGGAUACCCGCUGAACUUAA
rnacentral:misc_RNA from 1 species